rnacentral:lncRNA from 1 species
UGACAAGGUCCAAACGGCACCGUCACCCUGGCCCAGAAGCAUCAUUCAGUGCAGAUUUUUACCUCUACUAGGCUACACCUACAGCCACACAACUACACAACCAACCUCACCAGAAUACUCGAAAGAAACCCAUAUACGCGUUUUCAUCUCUCUCUCUCUCUCCAGCAAUUUGCGGUAUGUCAACGUUUCUGUAUCUUUUGACGAGAAAGGAUAUCAAGAAAUUGUAAGGUUAGUUGUUUAAGUGGAAAAUAGGGAGCCUUUUUGUAUUGUUGAACGUUGAUAGAUAGAGUGAAGAUGAGGAUUGUGAGGACUAUUGAUUCUUCUGAGUGUGCUGGUCUCUGUGGAUUCUUGGUUGUGGAAGCUUAUCCCAAAAGGUAUUCUUCCAAGAUCCCCUCAGAUUUGGUCCUUUUCUUGGGCCUUGGUUUCAUAGACUGGUAAUA